AUUGAACGCUGGCGGCAGGCCUAACACAUGCAAGUCGAGCGGUAGAGAGGUGCUUGCAUCUCUUGAGAGCGGCGGACGGGUGAGUAAUGCCUAGGAAUCUGCCUAGUGGUGGGGGAUAACGUUCGGAAACGGACGCUAAUACCGCAUACGUCCUACGGGAGAAAGCGGGGGAUCUUCGGACCUCGUGCCAUUAGAUGAGCCUAGGUCGGAUUAGCUAGUUGGUGAGGUAAUGGCUCACCAAGGCGACGAUCCGUAACUGGUCUGAGAGGAUGAUCAGUCACACUGGAACUGAGACACGGUCCAGACUCCUACGGGAGGCAGCAGUGGGGAAUAUUGGACAAUGGGCGAAAGCCUGAUGCAGCGACGCCGCGUGGGGGAUGACGGCCUUCGGUUGUAAACCGUCUUUCUAGCAGGACGAAGGGUGGACGUGACGGUACCGUGUAGAAGAAGCACCGGCCAACUAACGUGCCAGCAGCCGCGGUAACUAGUCUACG
rnacentral:rRNA from 1 species